rnacentral:rRNA from 1 species
GACGAACGCUGGCGGCGUGCCUAACACAUGCAAGUCGAACGGAGAUAUGAUUUCGGUUGUAUCUUAGUGGCGAACGGGUGAGUAACGCGUGAGCAACCUGACUCUUAGAGGGGGAUAACACUCGGAAACGGGUGCUAAUACCGCAUAAGACCACGACAUGGCAUCAUGACGAGGUCAAAGGAGCAAUCCGCUGAGAGAGGGGCUCGCGUCCCAUUAGAUAGAUGGCGGGGUAACGGCCCACCAUGUCAACGAUGGGUAGCCGAGCUGAGAGGCUGAUCGGCCACACUGGAACUGAGACACGGUCCAGACUCCUACGGGAGGCAGCAGUGGGGAAUAUUGGGCAAUGGGCGCAAGCCUGACCCAGCAACGCCGCGUGAGGGAAGAAGGCUUUCGGGUUGUAAACCUCUGUCCUUGGUGACGAAACAAAUGACGGUAGCCAAGGAGGAAGCCCCGGCUAACUACGUGCCAGCAGCCGCGGUAAUACGUAGGGGGCGAGCGUUGUCCGGAAUUACUGGGCGUAAAGGGUGCGUAGGUGGCCUUUUAAGUUGGAUGUGAAAUACCCGGGCUUAACUUGGGGGGUGCAUCUAAUACUGGAGGGCUAGAGUGCAGGAGAGGAAAGCGGAAUUCCUAGUGUAGCGGUGAAAUGCGUAGAUAUUAGGAGGAACACCAGUGGCGAAGGCGGCUUUCUGGACUGUAACUGACACUGAGGCACGAAAGCGUGGGGAGCAAACAGGAUUAGAUACCCUGGUAGUCCACGCGGUAAACGAUGAAUACUAGGUGUAGGGGGUAUCAACUCCCCCCUG